AAACUUAACGUAAUUUUCUAGACGGUGAACAAGCUGGAUUAAAAAGAGAUAAAAGCUUUUUCUUUUGGAGAACUAAAACAUUAAAGAAAUAUCCAGAGAGCGAGACAACAUUGGUUGUGAUGGCUGAACUUUUUUUCCCUGGUACUAGUCACUCGUGAGGCACGGAGCUGCUGCGUGAGCACAUUUUGACCAGAGGUCAGGUCCUGGAGCUGCAUUCGAAUAUCGUUGGAUGUCGACUGCGAGUCACCCAAGGAACUGAACUGAUUCUCGCGUUGACAACUCAUAUUCAUUUAACUACCGGAUUUGUGGUAUACUGGUCCAAGAUUUGCACAAGAUUGACCACACCUAGAGUUAAACCAACAAGGUUGCCACAGGCAAUCCAGCCAGGCGCUACAAAUACCCACAAGUCCAUCAAUCCUGGUGAAGACUUGCUCCAUGGAUGGCCGAGGCUGCCCUUGGCCUCCCUUCAAUCACCGAUCACUGGAGCCGUUGAAGUCCAUGGUGCGCUUUCUGCAAUCCAGGUACUCCAACC